CCUGGCUCACGUAUGAACGCUAGCUACAGGCUUAACACAUGCAAGUCGAGGGGCAGCAUGGUCUUAGCUUGCUAAGGCCGAUGGCGACCGGCGCACGGGUGAGUAACGCGUAUCCAACCUGCCUUACACUCUUGGACAGCCUUCUGAAAGGGAGAUUAAUACAAGAUGUUAUCAUGAGUAAGCAUUUUCGCAUGAUUAAAGGUUUACCGGUGUAAGAUGGGGAUGCGUUCCAUUAGAUAGUAGGCGGGGUAACGGCCCACCUAGUCUUCGAUGGAUAGGGGUUCUGAGAGGAAGGUCCCCCACAUUGGAACUGAGACACGGUCCAAACUCCUACGGGAGGCAGCAGUGAGGAAUAUUGGUCAAUGGACGAGAGUCUGAACCAGCCAAGUAGCGUGAAGGAUGAAGGUUCUAUGGAUUGUAAACUUCUUUUAUACGGGAAUAAACGAAUCCACGUGUGGAUUUUUGCAUGUACCGUAUGAAUAAGGAUCGGCUAACUCCGUGCCAGCAGCCGCGGUAAUACGGAGGAUCCGAGCGUUAUCCGGAUUUAUUGGGUUUAAAGGGAGCGUAGAUGGGUUGUUAAGUCAGUUGUGAAAGUUUGCGGCUCAACCGUAAAAUUGCAAUUGAUACUGGCAGUCUUGAGUACAGUUGAGGUAGGCGGAAUUCGUGGUGUAGCGGUGAAAUGCUUAGAUAUCACGAAGAACUCCGAUUGCGAAGGCAGCUUACUAACCUGUAACUGACAUUGAUGCUCGAAAGUGUGGGUAUCAAACAGGAUUAGAUACCCUGGUAGUCCACACGGUAAACGAUGAAUACUCGCUGUAGGCGAUAUACAGUCUGCGGCCAAGCGAAAGCAUUAAGUAUUCCACCUGGGGAGUACGCCGGCAACGGUGAAACUCAAAGGAAUUGACGGGGGCCCGCACAAGCGGAGGAACAUGUGGUUUAAUUCGAUGAUACGCGAGGAACCUUACCCGGGCUUAAAUUGCAACCGAAUAUGGCGGAAACGCUAUAGCUAGCAAUAGCGGUUGUGAAGGUGCUGCAUGGUUGUCGUCAGCUCGUGCCGUGAGGUGUCGGCUUAAGUGCCAUAACGAGCGCAACCCUUGCCGAUAGUUACUAACAGGUUAUGCUGAGGACUCUGUCGGGACUGCCAUCGUAAGAUGUGAGGAGGUGGGGAUGACGUCAAAUCAGCACGGCCCUUACGUCCGGGGCUACACACGUGUUACAAUGGGGGGUACAGAGGGCUGCUACCACGCAAGUGGAUGCCAAUCCCAAAAACCUCUCUCAGUUCGGAUUGAAGUCUGCAACCCGACUUCAUGAAGCUGGAUUCGCUAGUAAUCGCGCAUCAGCCACGGCGCGGUGAAUACGUUCCCGGGCCUUGUACACACCGCCCG
rnacentral:rRNA from 1 species